UACGUAGGGUGCGAGCGUUAAUCGGAAUUACUGGGCGUAAAGCGUGCGCAGGCGGUCUGUUAAGACCGAUGUGAAAUCCCCGGGCUUAACCUGGGAACUGCAUUGGUGACUGGCAGGCUUUGAGUGUGGCAGAGGGGGGUAGAAUUCCACGCGUAGCAGUGAAAUGCGUAGAGAUGUGGAGGAAUACCGAUGGCGAAGGCAGCCCCCUGGGCCAACACUGACGCUCAUGCACGAAAGCGUGGGGAGCAAACAGG
rnacentral:rRNA from 1 species